GGGCCUGUAGUAUACUGGUAGCACGCGCCCAUGGCAUGGGUGAAAAGCGGGUUCGAUUCCCGCCAGGUCCACCC
rnacentral:tRNA from 1 species